GUCGAACGAAGUAGCAAUACUUAGUGGCAGACGGGUGAGUAACAUGUAGGUAUCUUCCCUUUGGUGAGGAAUAACACGAGGAAACUUGUGCUAAUACCUCAUAAGUCUUUACGGAGAAAGCUUUAUGCGCCAAUGGAUGAGCCUGCACUUGAUUAGUUUGUUGGUAGGGUAAUGGCCUACCAAGACAAUGAUCAAUAGCUGAUUUGAGAGGAUGAUCAGCCACAUUGGGACUGAGACACGGCCCAAACUCCUACGGGAGGCAGCAGUAGGGAAUCUUGCACAAUGGGGGAAACCCUGAUGCAGCGAUGCCGCGUGAGUGAAGAAGGCCUUUGGGUUGUAAAGCUCUUUCGUCGGGGAAGAAAAUGACUGUACCCGAAUAAGAAGGUCCGGCUAACUUCGUGCCAGCAGCCGCGGCAAUACGAAGGGACCUAGCGUAGUUCGGAAUUACUGGGCUUAAAGAGUUCGUAGGUGGUUAAAAAAGUUGGUGGUGAAAUCCCAGAGCUUAACUCUGGAACUGCCAUCAAAACUUUUUAGCUAGAGUGUGAUAGAGGAAAGCAGAAUUUCUAGUGUAGAGGUGAAAUUCGUAGAUA
rnacentral:rRNA from 1 species